rnacentral:lncRNA from 1 species
AAUGAAGUUAGAGAUCGAAGCUUCUUCACUUCAGUAUUUGAUUUGAAAUGUAUGUAAAUGCUGAUUAAAUGGAAUUUUAUAUGGAUUUCCGAGGAGGACGAGUUGAAAUAUCCAUUCACCAUAAAGAAGUUUGAAAACACUGACAUGAUUUUGUAGGCUCAGGAAAUUAUGGUCACUGCCUGGAAUGGAACUCGGAAUCUUGGGGUUA